UACGGAGGGUGCGAGCGUUGUCCGGAAUCACUGGGCGUAAAGGGCGCGUAGGCGGCCUGAUAAGUAGGGGGUGAAAUCCUGCGGCUUAACCGCAGGGCUGCCUUCUAAACUGUCAGGCUCGAGCACAGUAGAGGCAGGUGGAAUUCCCGGUGUAGCGGUGGAAUGCGUAGAGAUCGGGAAGAACACCGGUGGCGAAGGCGGUUCUCUGGGCCUUACCUGACGCUGAGGAGCGAAAGCGUGGGGAGCGAACAGG
rnacentral:rRNA from 1 species